ensembl:lncRNA
GGUGGGUGGGUGGCUGGAUGGACAGAUGGGUGGAUGGAUAGGUGGGUGGAUGGACGGACAGAUGGAUGGACAGGUGGGUGGGUGGCUGGAUGGACAGAUGGGCAGAACUGCUUCACAAGAUAUUUACAUGAGCGUGAUAAGGAAACUACAUUCAUAUAGUGAAUACUGGCAUAAAAUUAAAGAGGAGAUCAUUUCCAGUGGUGCUUGAAAGUUUGUAAAACCUUUAGAAUUUUACACAUUUCUACAUAAAUACGACCAAAAACA